CCACCAGACUCCUACGGGAGGCAGCAGUGAGGAAUAUUGGUCAAUGGCCGCAGGGCUGAACCAGCCAAGUCGCGUGAGGGAUGACGGUCCUAUGGAUUGUAAACCUCUUUUGUCAGGGAGCAAAGGGCGCCACGUGUGGCGCUUUGCGAGUACCUGAAGAAAAAGCAUCGGCUAACUCCGUGCCAGCAGCCGCGGUAAUACGGAGGAUGCGAGCGUUAUCCGGAUUUAUUGGGUUUAAAGGGUGCGUAGGCGGAGUGUCAAGUCAGCGGUAAAAUUUCGGGGCUCAACCCCGUCGUGCCGUUGAAACUGACACCCUUGAGUGGGCGAGAAGUACGCGGAAUGCGUGGUGUAGCGGUGAAAUGCAUAGAUAUCACGCAGAACCCCGAUUGCGAAGGCAGCGUACCGGCGCCCGACUGACGCUGAAGCACGAAAGCGUGGGUAUCGAACAGGAUUAGAUACCCGCGUA
rnacentral:rRNA from 1 species